ensembl:lincRNA Gm37168 predicted gene, 37168
GAGAGCCCCCUGGGAUCCUCAGGAGCCCUCCAUCUUAUGGCUCCCCAAAGAAGAAACAGAAUUACCUCGUCACUUCCUGGUAUCUGGUCUGCCCCCAGAAGACCAGGAGCCACCUCCAGAUACCACUGAUACAUGGACUUGGGAUUAAGUUUUCCAACACAUUUUCCUCUGGGGUGGCGGGACAUUCAGACCAUGGCCAUCUCCUUCUGUCGCUGCAUGGAAUGAAGAGCCUUCACUUCACAGACAUGGAAGAGAAUAGAACAAAAGAUUCCACAGAUCAACUCAGGGUGGUGUCAACAAGAGACAGCAAUGAGGCGGAACACCCGGGUCGCCGCUAACUCUAGCUCUCAGGCUGUGCUGGCCACUGGCUUUCCCUACCAGAGGACGGUUUUGACGGGCAGACACAGUCACUGCACUAGUGGGUGCUCACCGUGACAGAUCAAGACAACUGUGUGAGCUGGUCUGAAGCACAGUCCUCUUCCCCGUGCAUGAAGACCAAGAAGGGUGAUCAUAGAACCGGUUCAGUGGGUACCCUGGGAAUUCAGAAGAAAGCAUCAGAUCUCCCUGGAACUGGAAGCACUGAUGGUAUGAGCCACCAUAUGGGUCCUGGGAACCAGCCAAGGUCCUCUGCAAGAACCACACAUGCAAAAGCUGUGGAGCCAUCUCUCCAGCUCCAUCUUUAAUUCUUUUGGCACUGAAAAUCUUUACUCCAAGAAAAUCUCACCUAAACUUCCAUCAAAACCAAUGGGAAAUCAGCAAUCGCAGGAUAUCUGAUAUGUGACCUCUGUGGAAGGGCCAUUCAACCCAAAGGAGUCAUGAUCCUCAGGUUGAGAACCGCUGUCCUAGUGUGACUAGACAGCCAGUCCCGACAGGCCAGAGUGUUUCUGGGACGGUGGCUGCUUAAUCAACCAAGCCCUGGAAGGAGGAACGACCAGAAGAGAGCCCUGACUCAGGCUGGAAUUGAAUAAGACCACUGAGGUGUUGGGAUUGCAUGCUGUUACUACAGCAUAAUCCACCCAGCCCUGAUUAAUAGCCCUGAACGAGCCCAGAUCUCCAGAAUUCCCUUGUGGUCUAAGCUGAGGGGUUUCCCUAAAUGCCAUUCCUGCCCAUGCUUUAGAUGGUGUGCUGGGUUUGGGAAGUCUUCUGCCUUUCAUGUGGAUCUGAGGACCAGUUCUGAGCUGCCUCAUACGGGAGACUGCAGUGAGCUGAAUGGUACCCUUCAGAAAGGCCUGGACUGUUACAUUGCUGGGGGGUUGACGGGGUCUUUGUAAAUGUAGUUAACUUAAGGCCGUGAAGCAGAAGAUCAGCCUGAAUUAGCAAUGUGGGCCUUAGUGGCCCAGUGGCAGGUGUACUUUUAAGUGUGAAGCAGGGAGGCCAGGGUUUAACUUAAUGGUGGAACAGUUGUUAAGUUUGUUUUUUAAGUUCCAACAUUGCUUAAUAAACAAGGUACUG